GCAAUACCUCAUUCCUUAUGCAAAGAAAUUAUGCAUGAUAUUGCACCUGCUGAGAUAGAAGAAAUUGAUGUUACCAUUAAGCUUGCCAAUAGAGAUACUAUUUCACCGAUUGGGAUUGUUAGAGAUGUUGAAGUCUUGUGUGGGAAGGUUAAAUAUCCUGCUGAUUUUCUUGUUCUUGGUUCCCCACAAGAUAGGUUUUGUCCCAUUAUAUUUGGUAGACCCUUCUUGAACACUGUUAAUGCUAGGAUAGACUGCGAAAAGGGUGUUGUUACUAUUGGUUUGGGUGAUAUGUCUCAUGAGUUUAAUUUUGCUAAAUUUCGUUGA
rnacentral:rRNA from 1 species